UAACGUAUACAAAAUAAGUUGCGGCGC
rnacentral:sRNA from 1 species